UGGGGAAUAUUGGACAAUGGGCGCAAGCCUGAUCCAGCCAUGCCGCGUGGGUGAUGAAGGCCUUAGGGUUGUAAAGCCCUUUCGGCGGGGAAGAUAAUGACGGUACCCGCAGAAGAAGCCCCGGCUAACUUCGUGCCAGCAGCCGCGGUAAUACGAAGGGGGUUAGCGUUGCUCGGAAUCACUGGGCGUAAAGCGCGCGUAGGCGGGUCGCUAAGUCAGGGGUGAAAUCCUGGAGCUCAACUCCAGAACUGCCUUUGAUACUGGCGACCUUGAGUCCGGGAGAGGUGAGUGGAAUUGCGAGUGUAGAGGUGAAAUUCGUAGAUAUUCGCAAGAACACCAGUGGCGAAGGCGGCUCACUGGCCCGGAACUGACGCUGAGGUGCGAAAGCGUGGGGAGCAAACAGGAUUAGAUACCCCCGUAGUCC
rnacentral:rRNA from 1 species